AGUCAGAUGUGAACAUGAUCCAGAAACACUGCAGUCUUCUCUGGACCAGAGUUCAUUUAAAAUGGUCUGAGACAAAGUGGAAAACUGUUCUGUGGUCAGAUGGAUGAAAAUGUGAAAUUCUUUCU